rnacentral:tRNA from 1 species
GCCUGGCUGGCCCAGUCGGUAGAGCAUGGGGCUCUUGGUCUCAGAGUUGUGAGUUCGAGCCCCAUGUUGGGUG